UUGUUUCUCCACAGGUCAAGGAAGUUGAUAGAGUUUUUGCCUUGAAGAGUGAAAUGGUGGGGAGCAUUGAAGUAAAGGUGAAGGAAUCAUCCCACUGUGUGGAAGUCAAUCUCUCACAAACCAAAGGCUUUGAGAAACAAGUCAUUGACCAGCUCAUCAAAGAAACUCAAUCCCCUUUGCCAUGUAAUCAUGCCAGAUGUCGAGGGAUAUUGUUAUGUGAAGCAGAUCAGCUAUCAAAUGAAACCCUAAUGUACGUAAAAUGGGCAAUUGAGAGGAACAAAGGGUGCAGCAAAAUCUUCUUCUGUUGCUCUGAUGUCUCUAAGCUUCUUCUUCUUAGCUCUUUCUGCACUCACGUUCAUCUCUCCCCACCUUCAAAG